GUUGCCUUGGCCGAGUGGUUAAGGCGUGUGCUUGCUAAGUGCAUGGGGAUCCCCCGCAAGAGUUCGAACCUCUCAAGCCAUG
rnacentral:tRNA from 1 species